rnacentral:rRNA from 1 species
UACGUAGGGGGCAAGCGUUUGUCCGGAAUCAUUGGGCGUAAAGCGCGCGUAGGCGGCCCGGUAAGUCCGCUGUGAAAGUCAAAGGCUCAACCUUUGAAUGUCAGCGGAUACUGCCGGGCUAGAGUCCGGAAGAGGCGAGUGGAACUCCUGGUGUAGCGGUGGAAUGCGCAGAUAUCAGGAAGAACACCAACGGCGAAGGCAGCUCGCUGGGACGGAACUGACGCUGGAGGCGCGAAAGCGUGGGGAGCGAACAGG